rnacentral:lncRNA from 1 species
ACUACAAGAGAAAAAAUAAAGGAUUAACAGAAACACUGAAGUGCAACAAAAAAAAAGUGCAAAUGACAGGACAUUUAAAGAAAAACAUGAUGGGUUGAAUCAGGAUUAAUGGUUAGCUAAAUAAACUGCGUAUAUAGCAAUAUUAAAAAAAAACAUCGCUAAAAUGACAACAUUACAUGACAGAAAUACAGCACAAACAAACAUGACAAACACAAGAACACUCAUUUCUGUGAAACGAACAAAUGAGUAACAUAAAAGUCGCUACUACAUGUAACCACAGAAUAAUAGCAGUAAGGUCCCUUUUCGAUAUAUACAUUGUAUCGUUGUUGUUUUCUUUUUGAUGAUUUGAGCAUUCCGUUUAAAGAUAAAGACGAUUUUUGGUUUAUUUUGGUUUAUUUUUGUUUUGUUUGGGUUUUUUUUUUUUUAUUUGGAAGGGUAAUACAAUGCUGAUACAGAGCAUGAAUUGAAAAUACGUGUGAUUUUGUUAUACCAUGACCAUUCUUAAUCUUAGAAGAUGCAACUUAUAUUAAUAGAACACCGAAUUUAUAUUUCAAAUUAAAUGUGAAAAUAUGUAACCCGUGCUAA